rnacentral:rRNA from 1 species
UACGGAGGGUGCGAGCGUUGUCCGGAAUCACUGGGCGUAAAGGGCGCGUAGGCGGCAUGCCAAGCGUGUGGUGAAAGCCCGGGGCUCAACCCCGGGUCGGCCGUGCGGACUGGCGUGCUCGAGCACUGUAGGGGCGGGUGGAAUUCCGGGUGUAGCGGUGGAAUGCGCAGAUAUCAGGAGGAACACCAAUAGCGAAGGCAGCUCGCUGGGACGUUACUGACACUGAGGCGCGAAAGCGUGGGGAGCGAACAGG